GACCCCGCACAAGCGGCGGAGCAUGUGGUUUAAUUCGAAGAUACGCGCAGAACCUUACCAACACUUGACAUGUUCGUCGCGACUUUGAGAGAUCAAAGUUUUCGGUUCGGCCGGACGAAACACAGGUGCUGCAUGGCUGUCGUCAGCUCGUGUCGUGAGAUGUUGGGUUAAGUCCCGCAACGAGCGCAACCCUCACUUUUAGUUGCCAUCAUUAAGUUGGGCACUCUGAAAGAACUGCCAGUGAUAAGCUGGAGGAAGGUGGGGAUGACGUCAAGUCCUCAUGGCCCUUACGUGUUGGGCUACACACGUGCUACAAUGGUAUCUACAACAGGAAGCAAGACUGCGAAGUUAAGCAAAUCCUUAAAAGAUACCUCAGUUCGGAUUGCACUCUGCAACUCGAGUGCAUGAAGCUGGAAUUACUAGUAAUCG
rnacentral:rRNA from 1 species